rnacentral:rRNA from 1 species
AUGGCGGACAUGAGCCUGGGCUCGGCCCAGGGCGCCGUUGACUCUCUCCUGGGGCGUCUCACAUCGGCACUUGUCGACGAGGCGCAGCUGCUCGGCGGCGUCCGCGGCGACGUCCAGUUCAUCAAGGACGGAAUGGAGAUCAUGAACGGCUUCCUCCUACAUGUUGCGGAGGCUGACGAGGAGGACUACCAAGUUGGGGCGUGGAUGAAGCAAGUCGCGGAGGUCGCCUACGCCUCCCACAACAGCGUCGAUCGGUACAUGCAGAGCCUCGGUGCUGGCCGCAGGGAGCCAGGCUUUCUAGGCCACUGCGCCGGCUGCCCAAGCUGGUGUGGACGCUGCCGGCGCGUCACCGCAUCGCCAAUCAGAUUCGGGAGCUCAAGAUCCGGGCCUGCGAGGUCGGGGAGAGGCGCAUGA